ACAGGCUCAGAAACAGGUGGAAAAACCAGAAGGGGCACAACACCGGCAGAUUUGAAAGUCUGUUGAAGAUGGAGGAUUACACCUAUUCUCGAGGACAUGAAAAGGAGUCGCCAAGGAAGUGAAAAAGAGAAUUAAAACGACAACGUGACCAGAAAAACAACAGACCAAAGUCAAUAUUGGAGUGGCUUUUCUAAGAUGGAAAGAGCUUGUGAGGAGCAAGGAUUUUAAAAGGGACGCCGAAGUUGCCUGCUUUCUCCUCGACAGCUAUGAGAGAGAACUGAGAGCAGUCACAUCAACACCAAUGAAGGGAAAGCCCUCUAGUAUUAAUUACUCCA